rnacentral:rRNA from 1 species
UACAGAGGGGGCGAGCGUUAUUCGGAAUUAUUGGGCGUAAAGGGCGCGUAGGCGGCUUUUCAAGUGGCGGGUGAAAUCCCUCGGCUUAACCGAGGAACUGCCUGCCAGACUGGAUUGCUUGAGGCCGGGAGAGGCGAGUGGAAUUCCCAGUGUAGCGGUGAAAUGCGUAGAUAUUGGGAGGAACACCAGUGGCGAAGGCGGCUCGCUGGACCGGUUCUGACGCUGAGGCGCGAAAGCGUGGGGAGCAAACAGG